GGGCGGAUGUAGCCAAGUGGAUUAAGGCGGUGGAUUGUGAAUCCACCAUCCGCG
rnacentral:tRNA from 1 species